rnacentral:rRNA from 1 species
GAUGAACGCUGGCGGCGUGCCUAAUACAUGCAAGUCGAGCGAACAGACGAGGAGCUUGCUCCUCUGACGUUAGCGGCGGACGGGUGAGUAACACGUGGAUAACCUACCUAUAAGGCUGGGAUAACUUCGGGAAACCGGAGCUAAUACCGGAUAAUAUAUUGAACCGCAUGGUUCAAUAGUGAAAGACGGUUUUGCUGUCACUUAUAGAUGGAUCCGCGCCGCAUUAGCUAGUUGGUAAGGUAACGGCUUACCAAGGCGACGAUGCGUAGCCGACCUGAGAGGGAGAUCGGCCACACUGGAACUGAGACACGGUCCAGACUCCUACGGGAGGCAGCAGUAGGGAAUCUUCCGCAAUGGGCGAAAGCCUGACGGAGCAACGCCGCGUGAGUGAUGAAGGUCUUCGGAUCGUAAAACUCUGUUAUUAGGGAAGAACAAAUGUGUAAGUAACUAUGCACGUCUUGACGGUACCUAAUCAGAAAGCCACGGCUAACUACGUG